UACGGGGGGAGCAAGCGUUGUUCGGAUUUACUGGGCGUAAAGGGCGCGUAGGCGGCCACUGCAAGUCGGUUGUGAAAUCUCCGGGCUUAACCCGGAAAGGUCAACCGAUACUGCAGGGCUAGAGUGCAGAAGGGGCAACUGGAAUUCUCGGUGUAGCAGUGAAAUGCGUAGAUAUCGAGAGGAACACCAGAGGCGAAAGCGGGUCACUGGACAGAUUCUGACACUCAUGCACGAAAGCUAGGGGAGCAAACGGG
rnacentral:rRNA from 1 species